rnacentral:rRNA from 1 species
AUUGAACGCUGGCGGCAGGCUUAACACAUGCAAGUCGAGCGGAGAUGAGGUGCUUGCACCUAAUCUUAGCGGCGGACGGGUGAGUAAUGCUUAGGAAUCUGCCAUUUAGUGGGGGACAACAUUCCGAAAGGGAUGCUAAUACCGCAUACGCCCUACGGGGGAAAGCAGGGGAUCUUCGGACCUUGCGCUAAAUGAUGAGCCUAAGUCGGAUUAGCUAGUAGGUGGGGUAAUGGCUCACCUAGGCGACGAUCCCUAGCUGGUCUGAGAGGAUGACCAGCCACACUGGAACUGAGACACGGUCCAGACUCCUACGGGAGGCAGCAGUGGGGAAUAUUGCACAAUGGGCGCAAGCCUGAUGCAGCCAUGCCGCGUGUGUGAAGAAGGCCUUCGGGUUGUAAAGCACUUUCAGCGAGGAGGAAGGUGGUGAGCUUAAUACGCUCAUCAAUUGACGUUACUCGCAGAAGAAGCACCGGCUAACUCUGUGCCAGCAGCCGCGGUAAUACAGAGGGUGCGAGCGUUAAUCGGAUUUACUGGGCGUAAAGCGUGCGUAGGCGGCUGAUUAAGUCGGAUGUGAAAUCCCUGAGCUUAACUUAGGAAUUGCAUUCGAUACUGGUCAGCUAGAGUAUGGGAGAGGAUGGUAGAAUUCCAGGUGUAGCGGUGAAAUGCGUAGAGAUCUGGAGGAAUACCGGUGGCGAAGGCGGCCCCCUGGACGAAGACUGGCGCUCAGGUGCGAAAGCGUGGGGAGCAAACAGGAUUAGAUACCCUGGUAGUCCACGCUGUAAACGAUGUCGAUUUGGAGGUUGUGCCCUUGAGGCGUGGCUUCCGGAGCUAACGCGUUAAAUCGACCGCCUGGGGAGUACGGCCGCAAGGUUAAAACUCAAAUGAAUUGACGGGGGCCCGCACAAGCGGUGGAGCAUGUGGUUUAAUUCGAUGCAACGCGAAGAACCUUACCUACUCUUGACAUCCAGAGAACUUAGCAGAGAUGCUU